rnacentral:lncRNA from 1 species
AGUAACACUCUGGGAGGGCUCAAACCACAUAACCAAAUGUGCCAAGAUAAUCCUGAGCUCACUAUUGUCAGUCCUGAAGAUUUUCCUCAGAUAAUCUUUCAUCUCUUUGUUCCUGAGACUAUAUAUUAGAGGAUUACAGAGUGGUGUUAUCACAGAAAAGAACAAGUGGAUUUUUAUCUGAGAUCUACAACUUAUGAAGAAUACAAAUGAUGUAUAUUCUUUUCUACUCUUCAUGUAUGGACUAGAGGGGCUUGCACAGUAGUAAGAAAAAAAUGGCUGAGACCCACAGGAACAAAGAAACAGGACAGGAGUUAGAUGCAGAGAAGAGAUUUCAACAAAAGUUUGGAAAAGAUGCUAACGGUAGCAUAUGAGUCACAGACAGAACAUUGGCACCUUUGUUUAAGAAACUGAAUGUUAAUGUCACAUCUGCCUUUGGAGAUUACAAAUGAAAUGGCUACCUUUCUACUGGAACCCUGACCAGAAGUCUGCCAGUUAGUAAGCUGGCUUAAGAGAUCAAUCUAAAAUUUACAUAAGGCUUUUGAAAAAAAGAAAAAAGCAGAAGAAAUGAAGAUAGCAAACAACACAGUAGUGACAGAAUUUAUCCUCCUUGGUCUGACUCAGUCUCAAGAUAUUCAGCUCUUGGUCUUUGUGCUGAUCUUAAUUUUCUACCUUAUCAUCCUCCCUGGAAAUUUUCUCAUUAUUUUCACCAUAAGGUCAGACCCUGGGCUCACAGCCCCCCUCUAUUUAUUUCUGGGCAACUUGGCCUUCCUGGAUGCAUCCUACUCCUUCAUUGUGGCUCCCAGGAUGUUGGUGGACUUCCUCUCUGAGAAAAAGUGAUCUUUCCAUUGAUGAAUCCUAUGAUUUAUACCCUUCGCAACCAGGAAGUGAAAACUUCCAUGAAGAGGUUAUUGAGUCGACAUGUAGUCUGUCAAGUGGAUUUUAUAAUAAGAAACUGAGAAGGAGGAAUUCUGGCUGGAAUUCAUAUCAUUCAUUUAACAAGUCCUGUUUUUCACUGAGUACCUCCCAUUUGCCAGGUACCAUUGUAGGCAAUGGAGGAGAGUUAUGCAUAAUGAGAGAAUAAACUUAUUAUAUUUAAACAAAAAAAAAAAAAAAAAAAAAAAAAAAAA